CAGCAGAGACGUCACAAGAUGUUCAGGCUCUACGUCCUCCUCGCUUCAUCCACGAGGAUGGUGUCAUACGACCAUAUAAGGAGCGGGAAGGCCUCGGCAGUCAGAUGCUUCAGAGGCAAGUGGCGUGCAGUGAAUGGCGUAGAUCUGGCUCAGAGGAUAAGGGGGAUGAGUAAAAACAGCUAGCAGUGACAGAAGUGAAAGCUGUAGAGUUGGUGUUUUGUGUGUAGUCUGUGCUGGAGGGUUGUCCCAAAGUUUGGAGAUCAUGUUUGGUUAGAUUAAAGUGAACCAAAGUAGGGACUUUCACUACUGGUGUCACUGGUUUAGAAGUAUUUUUUUAUAUGUAUUUUGUUGUUAACUGUGUUUUUUUUUUUUCAUCAUCCUUUUUUUGUUUGUUUUGUUUUUUUCCCUGCUCCACAACAACAAACUAAAAAUGAUCUCCAGCCACCAUUUUUCAGCCAAGUCCAACUUAGCUGUAAACCUCGUAUCACAUGACUAUUAACCAUUCAUGAUUAAGGUUGAUGCAUUUGUUUCCUGCUGGAGAAGGUUUGUGUGAAGGUCACACAUGCUGACUCGUAUGAUCUAAUCGGAAAACUAAAGUCUGAAAGUCUGUGCCCUCUUGUCCAAACUAAAACACAGUCCUAACACUUGUAAAGGUCUCUCAAUUAAAUAUCCUGAAAUGUCAUCUGAGAGCUACAUGUUAACAGUGCAAUGUUUAUGCAUUUUUUUAAAAAGCCAUUGUUGUGGACCAGGCUUUAUUUUCUCAUUAGUUUACUUAUUAGUGUUCAUUUUUAAGUCAUCAUAAUCACACUUUUUUCCUUCAUUGUUAUGUUUUUUUUGUCAUUACUUGGAACCUUUCACUGAUAUUUUGUUCUUAAUAAAGUCUUUGCAUUUCAAACUUUCA